rnacentral:rRNA from 1 species
UACAGAGGGGGCAAGCGUUGUUCGGAAUUACUGGGCGUAAAGGGCGCGUAGGCGGCCUUCUAAGUCGAACGUGAAAUCCCUGGGCUCAACCCAGGAACUGCGUCCGAUACUGGAAGGCUUGAAUCCGGGAGAGGGAUGCGGAAUUCCAGGUGUAGCGGUGAAAUGCGUAGAUAUCUGGAGGAACACCGGUGGCGAAGGCGCCCACCUGGCCUGCUACUGACGCUGAAGCUCGAAAGCUAGGGGAGCAAACGGG